CUAGGGUCCACCAGGACCAUCUGGUCGUCCAGGGCCAAAGGGCAACAUGGGAUUGAUCUUUGUGGGUUCCAUGGGUGACAAGGGUGUGAAAGGUCUUCCUGGCCCCAUUUAUCGACCAGAGCGGGCUCCUACCACGACUGUGAAAGGACAGAAGGGCAGUCCAGGACCCCCUGGAGACCCAGGGUUUCCAGGUCUCCCGGGUUUACCAG